rfam:Populus trichocarpa isolate Nisqually-1 chromosome 6, whole genome shotgun sequence.
GCUGGAAUAGCUCAGCUGGCUAGAGCGUGUGGCUGUUGGUCGGAGGUUCAAGCCCUCCUUCUAGCG